rnacentral:rRNA from 1 species
GACGAACGCUGGCGGCGUGCUUAGCACAUGCAAGUCGAACGGAAAGGCCCUGCUUUUGUGGGGUGCUCGAGUGGCGAACGGGUGAGUAACACGUGAGUAACCUGCCCUUGACUUUGGGAUAACUUCAGGAAACUGGGGCUAAUACCGGAUAGGAGCUCCUGCUGCAUGGUGGGGGUUGGAAAGUUUCGGCGGUUGGGGAUGGACUCGCGGCUUAUCAGCUUGUUGGUGGGGUAGUGGCUUACCAAGGCUUUGACGGGUAGCCGGCCUGAGAGGGUGACCGGCCACAUUGGGACUGAGAUACGGCCCAGACUCCUACGGGAGGCAGCAGUGGGGAAUAUGGCACAAUGGGCGGAAGCCUGAUGCAGCAACGCCGCGUGCGGGAUGACGGCCUUCGGGUUGUAAACCGCUUUCGCCUGUGACGAAGCGUGAGUGACGGUAAUGGGUAAAGAAGCACCGGCUAACUACGU